ACGGAAGGCAGCAGUGAGGAAUAUUGGUCAAUGGACGCAAGUCUGAACCAGCCAUGCCGCGUGCAGGAAUAAGGCCCUAUGGGUCGUAAACUGCUUUUGUGGUGGAGCAAUAAGUCGUACGUGUACGGCGAUGAGAGUACAUCACGAAUAAGCAUCGGCUAACUCCGUGCCAGCAGCCGCGGUAAUACGGAGGAUGCAAGCGUUAUCCGGAUUUAUUGGGUUUAAAGGGUGCGUAGGCUGUGGUCCAAGUCAGGGGUGAAAGACCGGAGCUCAACUCCGGAACUGCCUUUGAUACUGGAUUGCUGGAAUACGGAUGCCGUGGGAGGAAUGAGUAGUGUAGCGGUGAAAUGCAUAGAUAUUACUCAGAACACCGAUUGCGAAGGCAUCUCACGAAUCCGUCAUUGACGCUGAGGCACGAAAGCGUGGGGAUCAAACAGGAUUAGAUACCCUGGUA
rnacentral:rRNA from 1 species